GCGCAUGCAGGUGGUUUAGUUAAGUCAGAUGUAGAAACGGCCCGGGGCUACAACCUACGGAAUUGCUAUUUAGAAACUGGACAAACUAGAGUACUGUAGAGGGGGUAGAAUUUCAGGUGUAGCGGUGAAAUGCGUAGAGAUCUGAAGGAAUACCGGUGGCGAAGGCGGCCCCCUGGACAGAUACUGACACUCAGAUGCGAAAGCGUGGGGAGCAAACAGGAUUAGAUACCCCGGUAG
rnacentral:rRNA from 1 species